GUUCCGCAAUCCAGUCGUCCGCGGCAUCCAUCCCCGAACCCGCCGCAACCCGCUCGAUCAGCGGAUGGUUCGGCACGCGGAUGAAAUUACCUGCGACCACGCUGACGGGCAGCCCGUGCCGCNNNNNNNNNCUCGUCCUUUACCGGGCAGGCGUCGGCGUCGACAUAGAUGCGGGUCGUGUGGGUCAAGGCUGUUCCGUUCAGGUUUGCGCUGCUGGUAACCCAACGGCGUGAAAAG
rnacentral:misc_RNA from 1 species